UGGGGAAUAUUGGACAAUGGGCGCAAGCCUGAUCCAGCCAUGCCGCGUGAGUGAUGAAGGCCCUAGGGUUGUAAAGCUCUUUCACCGGUGAAGAUAAUGACGGUAACCGGAGAAGAAGCCCCGGCUAACUUCGUGCCAGCAGCCGCGGUAAUACGAAGGGGGCUAGCGUUGUUCGGAUUUACUGGGCGUAAAGCGCACGUAGGCGGACUUUUAAGUCAGGGGUGAAAUCCCGGGGCUCAACCCCGGAACUGCCUUUGAUACUGGAAGUAUUGAGUAUGGUAGAGGUGAGUGGAAUUCCGAGUGUAGAGGUGAAAUUCGUAGAUAUUCGGAGGAAAACCAGUGGCGAAGGCGGCUCACUGGACCAUUACUGACGCUGAGGUGCGAAAGCGUGGGGAGCAAAAAGG
rnacentral:rRNA from 1 species